UGUGGCUGGGGCAGCAAGGAUUGAAUGCACAAGGGAGGCCUAUCCUCUAAGAUGGAACCUGGAAUCUCUUCCAGACCCAGUGCAUUCCCUGGGCUCAUCCUUUUAACCACCUUCUACCAUGUUCCUGACUUCCUAUAUGCUUUGUCCUUAUUUCAGACUCUGGGCAUCAUCAGUAGUGUCUGACAGUUCCAUAUGAACAGGAUUCUUUUAUGUUAGCUUGCAGGUGAAAUCAUUAGGGCCCUGCUGUGUGCUCCAGCCUUGAGACCCUUGCCUUCCAGGAGCCAAACAAGAAGCAAAGCCACCACAGGUCCCUAAAGCAUGAGGAAGUCUAGACCUCCCUCCCUCCCCACAUUUGAACAACUGACUAUCUACUAAAGAGCAUCUGGGCCCUAUUCCUUCAAAGCUGGUUCAGGUCUGAAGAAGUGAUCAUAGAUGUCUCCUACUAGGGUAGACAGAAAGGCAGGAUAACUUCCUGGCAGUGAUGGAAUACCAGCUGUCAAAUACCACCAGGCCCAGCACUAGGCAAAGUGCACCUAACAUUGCAUGGUAAACCUUGUGACACUGCUUCUGGAGAACCUCAGUGGCACAGCACCUGCCACAGCAUGGUUCUCACCUCAGCAGGACCAUCCUCAGAUGAUCAACUUGGGGGAAAUGGUUGCCUCCUACACAUGGUCAUGUGGUCCCAAGGUGGAACUCCUUGGCAGUUCUAGAAGCACCCUAGUGAGCAGUGGGGCACUUCUGGACAAUGUUAGUGGAACUCAGCUAACAUCUUUCACAGAUCCCCACCUGACCAGGUAGCUCCUCUGGGCCAAGCCAGGCUGGACUUUGCACUGUACCAUCAGGACUGACCUCUUUGAGUUUAUGAAAGGAAGGAAAUUGGUGACUCCCUAAGACGCCCUCUCAUUCAUAGCCUAGCACAAUCUGCUUGCUUUAUUUUUACUGCCCCCCCCCCCCAAUUAAGUAUGCUGUGCCAUUUUGCUAACCUAACUUCCCUCAGGGGAAUAUGGGACUGAUGUCCACACCAAGACUAUGCAAAGUCUUUCACAUGGCAGCCUCUACUUGUUUCUUAGUGGUGUGGGCCAGGCCCCAAUUGUACUGAAGCCUUCUUUUUGUCUUCAGAAUGCUCCUAGGAUGUGAGUAGAUGUGUAUAAAUG
rnacentral:lncRNA from 1 species